rnacentral:tRNA from 1 species
GCACCCGUAGCUCAGUUGGAUAGAGCAUCAGCUUGCGGAGCUGAGGGUCGUAGGUUCAAGUCCUGCCGGGUGCACCA